UUCAGAUGUUAUUUUUGUUGUUGUUCUAGAGCUUUUUGGUGUGCUGUUGAAUUGCUAAUAUGAGAUCCCUCCAAUUUUUUAAAAGAUUUAUUAUUAUAGAUAAGUACACUGUAGCUGUCUUCAGACACCCCAGAUGAGGGCAUCAGAUCUCAUUACGAUGGGUGGUUGUGAGCCACCAUUACAGGUGGUUGCUGGGAAUUGAACUCAGGACUCCAAUUUUUAAAGUCGGCAUUUAGUGCUAUGAACUUUCCUCUCACCAUCUCCUUUACUAUGUCCCAUGGGUUUGGGAAUGUUGUGUUUCCAUUUGCAUUCAGCUCUAAAAAGUUUUUCAGUAGCCUUAAUUUCAGUCUUGACCCAUUUUCAUGUAGUGAAUUUUAAGUAGUGAAUACAUUAGUUUGAAAGUAUUCUGUUGUUGAUAUCCUAUUUUAAUCAGAUAGGAUGCAGGUUAUUUUGAUUUUCUUGUAUCUGUUGAGUCUAGCUUUAUGUCCAAGUAUGUGGUUGGUUUGAGAAAACAAGCCAUGGGCUUCUUAAAAGCUAUAGUCUUUUGUGUUUGGGUGAGAUGUUUUGUAAAUAUAUGCUAUGUCCAUUUGAUGUGAGACAUUUGACUCCAACAUUUCUAUGUGUAGGGAUAAUCUCUUGUGCACUGUACUCAGUAAAGAGCUGAAUUGCUAUAGCAAGGCAGGAGAAACUAGGCGGGAUAUCUGACAGAGAGAGGGGAACUUUGGGAAAGAGUCAGGCAUGGGGGAUGCACUACCCAGACUCAGAGGAAGUCAGACUUAGUUAUGAAACUGAGGAGAGGUUUCCAGCUAUGUGACAGAACUCAGAUUACUAUAAACUUGAUAGAGUUACAAGCUAAUUGGAGAAUAAGCCCAGGAUAUUAAUUCAUAAAUAAGCCUUGGUGUUAUUGUUCGGGAGCUGGGGCAGACAUAGAAAAGUCCAAAUGGUUACAGCUAUGUUUAGUUUUUGUUUGGAUGACCUGUAUAUUGGCAAGACUAGGGAAGUCGCCCAUUUAUCACUGUGUGAGGGUUAAUAUAUGAUUUUAGCUGGGGUGGUGUUUCUUUUAUGAACCUGGAUGCCCUAAUAUUUCGUGGGUAAAUGUUUAGAAUUGCAAUAUCCUACUGGUGGCUAUUCUCUUUGAUGAGUAUGUCCUUCCCUAUCUCUUCUGAUUAGUUUUGGCUUGAAAUCUAUUUUGUCAGAUUUUACAAUGGUUGCACUAGUUUGCUUUCUGGGUCCAUUUGCUUGGAAUAUUGUUUUCCAUUCUUUUAUCCAGAGGUGAUGUCUAUCCUGGACCUUCAAGUGUGUUUCUUGAUGCAGGAAAAAGAUGGAUUUUUUUUUCACUGUUAGUGUGUAUCUUUUUAUUUGGUUAGUAUCUCUUCUUUGUGGAGCUGGGACCACUGACAUCAGUGAGUGUGUCUAUUGGUCCCCAUCACUUGUUGCGGAGUGGGUCCCCCACCCUGCUCUUCCAGUUCGCUGGUAUGAGGUUACUUAUCCCUUGUGUUUUCUUGCAGGUAGUUAAUCUUUUCAGAAUCAAGUUUUUAUUCUAUCAUCUUCUGUAGAGAUGGAUUUGUGGGUAAAUAGUGCUUAACUUAGUUUUUAUCAUGAAAUGUUUCUCUUUCUCCAUCUAUUGUGAUCUACAGUUAUAGUUAUUCUGGUUAUAAAUUUCAGGCUGGCAUACAUACAUCGUCUAGAGUCUGUUGAAAAUCUGUUCAGGCCUUUCUGGACUUUGGAGUCUCCAUUGAGAAGUCCGGUGUUAUUCUAAUAGGUCUGCCUUUACAUAUUACUUUGUCUUUUUCCCUUGCAGCUUUAAAAAUAUUCUUUCCUUUUCUGUACAUUUAGUAUCUUGAUUAUUGUAUGUCUGUCAUGAGGAAUUUCUUUUCUGAUCUUGUUUGGUGUUCUGUGAGUUUCUUGAACCAUGAUAGGCUCCUCCUUCUCUAGGUUGAGGAAUUUUCUUCUAUGAUUUUGUUGAAAAUGUUUUCUAUGCCUUUGAUCUGAGUUUCUUCUCCUUUAUUUCUAUUAUUCGUAGACUUUGUCUUCUUAUAUUGGCCCAGAUUUCCUGGAUGUUUUGUGCCUACAAUUUUUUUUAACAUUCCCUCUACCAUUUCUUCUAUCUUGUCUUCAACACCUGGGAGUGUCUCUUCCAUGUCUUCCAUGUCUUCCAUGUCUUCCAUGUCUUCCAUGUCUUCCAUGUCUUCCAUGUCUUGUUGGUGAGGGUCACUGCUGAUGGUUUCGUUUUACUUCCUAAAUAUUUUUUUAUUUCAGUCUUAGUUUUUCUUAGUGAUUCUAUUUCUUAGUCUAAUCAAAUUUUCAUGUCAUUGUUUUCAUUAUUUCACCAUUUCAUCUAACUGUCUUGUUUUCACAGACUUAAGGGGUUCAUUCUUAUUUUUUCUUAGGUCCUUGAACAUAUACAUAAUAGCUAUUUUGAAGCCCUUGUCUUGUGCUUCAGUUAUAUUGCAUUUCUCAGGGCCUACUGUAGUAUUGUUGCUGGGUGCUGGUGGAGGGAUACUGUCCUGUUCACAUUUGCGUCAUUGCACCGGUGUCUAGGCAUCUGGACUAGGGAUAAUUGAGGUGAUUCUAGGUGCUGACACCUGGUCUUGUCUUUGUUGAGUGGGUAUCCUAUUCUUUGUUUACCACUGGCGCCUCGUUGGGUCUUAGGAGAUUGUGAUGGCUGUGGGUUGCCUGACAGGAAACACUUAUGCAGCUUGGAGGAUGGCAGAGAGGAAUUGAGGUGGCCUAGGAGAGAACUUCCCGAAGAGCUAAGGGGAUCCUGUCCACAUCUGGAGCGAAGAAACCCUCCUGGUGCAGACAGCAAAAGGCCUGUUUCAAGUGAGGGAUGGCUAGUUCAAGGACAGGAGGGUGACAUCACAAGGACCAAUCUGUAAGCCAGAAGACUCAGAAGACUAAAAAGGCAAAAUUAGGUAGCAGGGGUUACCUGCUCAGAGCAGAGACAGAUGGGAAAUUUCUGUCAUCAUUAAGGUUUUAUUGACCAGCGCGGCUGAAAUUUCCCAGAGAGAGGAAUUCAUCUCGCUACCGACUGAGAGCAGACAUCCUGCUGGGAGUAGUUACAUAAAUUCUGUUGCUCAAAUUAAUUAGGAUUGUGAUUCAUUUGUUUAAUGAAGAAUCUGAUGGCGAGAGGCAAGGCAGCCUAGCCUUGCCGAGUUCAGCCAAUCCCGGGUGAUAGUGCGGCAGAUGGGGUGGGACCAGGCCUGGAGCUGGCUGCCGAUGGGCAGAGACAACCAACCAGAAUGCAGAGCUGAAGCCAGUGGGAGCCGCUGCUGUCCCCUCCAAAGCUGGUGGCUGGAGAGACGCAGAUUCCCAGCUUAAAGCUUUCCCAGCUUCGCCGCCGCCCAGAGGCUUCCGGCCUCCUGCUUCCUCUGUGCGGAACAACUGCGAACAGCUGAAACACACGCCUCAUUAGCACCGACCGUCCACCCAUUUCCUCAUGCCACCCCCAAACGCCAGACUUUAUGCUUCU
rnacentral:lncRNA from 1 species